CCGAAUGGAAAAUCAAAUUAUAAUAAUCCAAGCGGUGAAGAUGAUGUGCAAGUGCCAAAAGAAGCUUGAAUCCGGUGCCCUGACUCACAGUUUCGGCCCUGCAGUAUUCUCAAAGAGUAGAACAUACGAUUUCUCUCCUACUCUUCUUGUCCUUUGGAGCAAAGUUGUACGAAACUAGUGAAAUGUUCCCAUUAUCAUACACGGUGUGUAUGAAAAACUUGAGCUUAUUAAGUAAAAUUAUAGGAUAUGUUAUGAGGUGUAA